UGAGGAAUAUUGGACAAUGGGUGGAAGCCUGAUCCAGCCAUCCGCGUGUAGGAAGACGGCCCUAUGGUUGUAAACUACUUUUAUCUGGGAUGAAAACCUACUUACGUGUAAGUAGCUGAAGGUACCAGAUGAAUAAGCACCGGCUAACUCCGUGCCAGCAGCCGCGGUAAUACGGAGGGUGCAAGCGUUAUCCGGAUUUAUUGGGUUUAAAGGGUCCGUAGGCGGGCUUAUAAGUCAGUGGUGAAAUCCGACAGCUUAACUGUCGAACUGCCAUUGAUACUGUGAGCCUUGAGUAAGGUUGAAGUGGCUGGAAUAAGUAGUGUAGCGGUGAAAUGCAUAGAUAUUUACUUUAGAACACCAAUUGCGAAGGCAGGUCACUAAGUCUUAACUGACGCUGAUGGACGAAAGCGUGGGAGCG
rnacentral:rRNA from 1 species